rnacentral:rRNA from 1 species
CCUACGGGCGGCAGCAGUGGGGAAUAUUGGACAAUGGGCGAAAGCCUGAUCCAGCCAUGCCGCGUGUGUGAAGAAGGCCUUCGGGUUGUAAAGCACUUUCAGUGGGGAAGAAAGCCGUGAGGCUAAUACCCUCGAGGAAGGACAUCACCCACAGAAGAAGCACCGGCUAACUCCGUGCCAGCAGCCGCGGUAAUACGGAGGGUGCGAGCGUUAAUCGGAAUUACUGGGCGUAAAGCGCGCGUAGGCGGUCUGAUAAGCCGGUUGUGAAAGCCCCGGGCUCAACCUGGGAACGGCAUCCGGAACUGUCAGGCUAGAGUCUCGGAGAGGAAGGUAGAAUUCCCGGUGUAGCGGUGAAAUGCGUAGAGAUCGGGAGGAAUACCAGUGGCGAAGGCGGCCUCCUGGACUGACACUGACGCUGAGGUGCGAAAGCGUGGGUAGCAAACAGGAUUAGAUACCCCUGUAGUC